CGCGUGAGAGGAGGGCUCUUGGGUUGUAAACCUCUUUUCUCAGGGAAGAAUAUCAUGACGGUACCUGAGGAAUAAGCAUCGGCUAACUCCGUGCCAGCAGCCGCGGUAAUACGGAGGAUGCAAGCGUUAUCCGGAAUGAUUGGGCGUAAAGCGUCCGCAGGUGGCAAUGUAAGUCUGCUGUCAAAGCGUCUGGCUCAACCAGAUAAAGGCAGUGGAAACUACAUAGCUAGAGUAAGGUAGGGGUAGAGGGAAUUCCUGGUGUAGCGGUGAAAUGCGUAGAGAUCAGGAAGAACACCGGUGGCGAAAGCGCUCUGCUGGACCUAAACUGACACUGAGGGACGAAAGCUAGGGGAGCGAAUGGGAUUAGAUACCCCUAG
rnacentral:rRNA from 2 species